AGGAUUAUAGUUUAAUAAUUAAAACAUUUGAUUUGCAUUCAAAAAAUAUUGAUAUAAAAUCAAUUCAUCUUA
rnacentral:tRNA from 1 species